UACGUAGGGGGCAAGCGUUGUCCGGAUUUAUUGGGCGUAAAGAGCUCGUAGGCGGUUGGGCAAGUCACGUGUGAAAUCUCCACGCUCAACGUGGAGGCGCCACGUGAGACUGCCCUGACUCGAGUCCGGUAGGGGAGCGUGGAAUUCCGGGUGGUAGCGGUGAAAUGCGCAGAGAUCGGGAGGAACACCCGUAGCGAAGGCGGCGCUCUGGGCCGGUACUGACGCUGAGGAGCGAAAGCGUGGGGGAGCAAACAGG
rnacentral:rRNA from 1 species